AAGACGGGUGGAAGCAGGGGGGAAUAUUGGACAAUGGGCGAAAGCCUGAUCCAGCCAUGCCGCGUGUGUGAAGAAGGCCUUCGGGUUGUAAAGCACUUUCAGUGGGGAAGAAAGCCUUGGGGCUAAUACCCUCGAGGAAGGACAUCACCCACAGAAGAAGCACCGGCUAACUCCGUGCCAGCAGCCGCGGUAAUACGGAGGGUGCGAGCGUUAAUCGGAAUUACUGGGCGUAAAGCGCGCGUAGGCGGUCUGAUAAGCCGGUUGUGAAAGCCCCGGGCUCAACCUGGGAACGGCAUCCGGAACUGUCAGGCUAGAGUGCAGGAGAGGAAGGUAGAAUUCCCGGUGUAGCGGUGAAAUGCGUAGAGAUCGGGAGGAAUACCAGUGGCGAAGGCGGUCUUCUGGACUGACACUGACGCUGAGGUGCGAAAGCGUGGGUAGCAAACAGGAUUAAAUACCCGUGUAGUC
rnacentral:rRNA from 1 species